GACGGAGCAACGCCGCGUGAGGGAGGAAGGCUCUUGGGUUGUAAACCUCUUUUACUGGGGAAGAAGAACUGACGGUACCCAGCGAAUCAGCAUCGGCUAACUCCGUGCCAGCAGCCGCGGUAAUACGGAGGAUGCAAGCGUUAUCCGGAAUUAUUGGGCGUAAAGCGUCCGCAGGUGGUAGUUCAAGUCUGCUGUCAAAGACCGAAGCUCAACUUCGGAAAGGCAGUGGAAACUGAACAACUAGAGGACAGUAGGGGUAGCAGGAAUUCCCAGUGUAGCGGUGAAAUGCGUAGAGAUUGGGAAGAACAUCGGUGGCGAAAGCGUGCUACUGGGCUGAACCUGACACUGAGGGACGAAAGCUAGGGGAGCA
rnacentral:rRNA from 1 species